GACGAACGCUGGCGGCGGGCUUAACACAUGCAAGUCGAACGGAAAGGCACUGCGUUUUUGGGGUUCUCGAGUGGCGAACGGGUGAGGAACACGUGAGUAACCUGCCCUUGACUUUGGGAUAGCUUCAGGAAACGGGGGCUAAUACCGUAUAGGAUAUCCUGUUCCGUGGUGGGGGUUGGAAAGUCGCGGCGGGUGGGGAUGGACGCGCGGGUUAUCGGCUAGUUGGUGGGGUAGUGGCUUACCAAGGCUUUGACGGGUCGCCGGCCUGGGAGGGUGACCGGCGACAUUGGGACUGAGGUACGGACCAGACUGCUACGGGGGGCAGCGGUGGGAAAUCUUGCACAGUGGGCGGGAGCGUGUUGAAGAAACGCCGCGGGCGGGAUGACGGCUUGUGGGUUGUAAAAAGCAUUAGGCUGUGACGAAGCGGGAGUGACGGUAAUGGGUAAAGAAGCACCGGCUAACUACGUG
rnacentral:rRNA from 1 species